GGGUGUCUGCCCCUGACUCAGCCUCUCAGAGCAAGUCACUGAUGUUCCAGCACACCUGAGCCAGCAUGAGCUCUGGCAGCAGCACUGGAAGGUACAUGGGAGGCGGGGCCUUUACGGUACUCUACAGUCGGUCGUUUCCAGGAAAGGAAGACGCUUUUCAUUUAUCCAACCAAUAUGUAUUGAGCACUAUUUUGUGUUGGGCACUGUUCUGAACUGUGCAGAUUCAACAGUGAGCAACAUUCCGUCCCUUAGGCCACCACGAUUGAUUCAAGGAGAGGCUGGUGACCCAAGGUGGGCUGAUGAGCAUCAUGCCAGCUCCUGGCAAAGCAUCUCUCUCUUUCCGAGAUAGCAGGCACUAAGAACUGUUGGCGCCUGGAGCAUCUUUGCCACCAAUCGAAGGGAGCCUGGCCAAAGAAGAAAAUGAGCAGGGAAAAGAAGACCCAAGAGAUGGAGACAGAAAGUGACUGUAUCAUGAGGACACCAAGCCCCUGGAUACAACCAUGCCUGAAGCUUAAACUACAUUCAGACUUUGCAGUUUGUACGAGCCGAUAUAUUCCUUUUCCUGCUGGAGCCAGUUUUAGUGGAGUUUGCACGACUUACAGCUAAAACAGUUCCAACAAAUCCAAGGUUGGAGAGAGAAAGUAGUUAUUUCUCCUAGCAAACUGUGGUGUCCUUCAGCUAAAGAACUUGGUGUUAGUCACCUUUUUAUCCCUCAGUGCACUGUCCCUUAGAUGUAAGAAUUUAAGAAGUGCUUGUGAAUGUAAUAACACUGAAGGAAAUGGUAAAGAACUCGGUAAAGAAUGCAAUCGCGGCAGAGAUACAAGUGGAAGGGACAGCCGGGCCACAACAAGAGGCUUUUGUGCCUCAAGGAUAUAGUUCCAGGAAAAUAAAACCAAGUGGAGUCCUGACUUCAAAUCCUGAUACUUGGUAUCUUCACGCCUUUGGGUAAACCAGGCUACAACAUAGCUACGACGUGUCGUAAGCUCACACGGACGCACUGCUGGAUCGCCAUGUACCGAUGUUCAAGUUCCCACGGUGCAAUCCCUGUUGUUUUUCUGAAGCAGCACAGGUGCGCCCUUUUUUUUUGCUUCCCCAAAAGAUCUGAACUGCCCUUUGCCUCUCCCGAGCCUGCCGGACUAGACUUACAAGUGCUAGACCCUGCAAUAGUGUUCUUUUUGAGAGUCAGAAGAUUUUGCAUUUGAACCCAGCUCUGCCACUUAAAAACCACGUGCCCUCGGAGAAGUUCCUUAUACUGUCUUCUCGGUAUCCUUCUCAAGUGAAGACCAGUGUGGGAGAAGUGUGCAGCACAGACAGGGAAGAGGAGGGAAUGACAAGAGAAUGACAGCAGCUGGAGGCACCUACAAGCAGCCAGGCACUUGAGAAUUGACUGGACAUUUGGUGACAAUGGUAACAACAGAGCACAAUUGCUGGGUUAUGUCCCGACUGCUUCACCCCAGUCCUUCAGUAUGAAUCCUUACUCUCCCCAUUUUGUAAAUGAGGAAAAUGAGGCACAGAAGGGAUAAGUGACGUGCUUAGGGUCUCACCCAGCUAUUAAGUGACAGAGACAGGAUUGUGGCCCCAGCUUCCUGUGGCCAGAGUUCAUGUUUUCAAUCCCUGAGCCCUCUGGCCUCUGCACACCUGGAGAGAAAUGGGAUGGGGUUCUAAAGAGGCAAGUUAUACACCGGAAUUUGGGGGAUAGUCUCUAUUUCAAACAAUGUCUUGAAUUCCUUGAAGAACGUGAAACGGGGCCCCUGAUCUGGAGGCUGGUACCCGCCCUGAGGACGUGGCGUUCUCCGGCUGAACAUCAACGAGUUCAGAGAAUACUCACGUCGGACAAGACUGCUGUGAUCACGAUGGAUCGCGACAAAAGUAAGGCAAGCAGCUAUUUAUGUCUGAAGACACACAAACCACGAACGUCGCCCAAAACACAGGAAUGACCAAACACGGCCCUAAACGUAUUAUUCCUCCUGCCUGAUUGACAAGAAUGCUCGAGCCCCUUUACCGAGUCCUCUGUUUCCUGAAAGUGUCCAAUCCAGAGCAAAGCCUCGCUUCCUUGAACCCACCCUCAAAUCGCCUAAUACCCAAAGCCUAUAAUAAAUAAUUUUUGAAAGCA